UACGGGGGGGGCAAGCGUUGUUCGGAAUUACUGGGCGUAAAGGGCUCGUAGGCGGCCAACUAAGUCAGACGUGAAAUCCCUCGGCUUAACCUGGGAAUUGCAUCCGAUACUGGAUGGCUUGAAUCCGGGAGAGGGAUGCGGAAUUCCAGGUGUAGCGGUGAAAUGCGUAGAUAUCUGGAGGAACACCGGUGGCGAAGGCGGCAUCCUGGACCGGCAUUGACGCUGAGGAGCGAAAGCCAGGGGAGCAAACGGG
rnacentral:rRNA from 1 species